UACGGUAGGGGCAAGCGUUGUCCGGAGUUACUGGGCGUAAAGCGCACGCAGGCGGUCGAUUAAGUUUGGAGUGACAGUUGGUGGCUUAACUGCCAAAGUGCUUUGAAAACUGAUCGACUUGAGGCUUCAGAGGGACACGGAAUUCCGGGGUGGAGUGGUGAAAUGCGUAGAGAUCCGGAGGACACCGAAGGCGAAGGCAGUGUCCUGGGGAGUACCUGACGCUCGAGGUGCGAAAGCCAGGGGAGCGAACGGGA
rnacentral:rRNA from 1 species